rnacentral:rRNA from 1 species
GGCUCAGAACGAACGCUGGCGGCGUGCCUAACACAUGCAAGUCGAACGGGAAAGCCCGCAAGGGUGAGUACAGUGGCGCACGGGUGCGUAACACGUGGGUAAUCUGCCCAGAAGCCCGGAAUAACUCCCCGAAAGGGGUGCUAAUGCCGGAUGAGACCACGGGGACUUCGGUUCCUGGGGGAAAAGGUGGCCUCUGUAUACAAGCUAUCACUUCUGGAUGAGCCCGCGGCCCAUCAGCUAGUUGGCGGGGUAAUGGCCCACCAAGGCUACGACGGGUAGCUGGUCUGAGAGGACGAUCAGCCACACUGGAACUGAGACACGGUCCAGACUCCUACGGGAGGCAGCAGUGGGGAAUCUUGCGCAAUGGGCGAAAGCCUGACGCAGCAACGCCGCGUGUGUGAUGAAGGUCUUCGGAUCGUAAAGCACUGUCGGGAGGGACGAAUAAGGGCCGGGUGAACAAUCCGGUCUGACGAUUGUACCUCCAAAGGAAGCACCGGCUAACUCUGUGCCAGCAGCCGCGGUAAUACAGAGGGUGCUAGCGUUGUUCGGAAUUAUUGGGCGUAAAGCGCGUGUAGGCGGCCAACCAAGUCGGAUGUGAAAGCCCUCGGCUUAACCGAGGAAGUGCGUUCGAUACUAGUUGGCUUGAGUACCGGAGAGGGUGGUGGAAUUCCCGGUGUAGAGGUGAAAUUCGUAGAUAUCGGGAGGAACACCAGUGGCGAAGGCGACCACCUGGACGGAUACUGACGCUGAGACGCGAAAGCGUGGGGAGCAAACAGGAUUAGAUACCCUGGUAGUCCACGCUGUAAACGAUGAGCGCUAGGUGUUGCGGGUGUUGACCCCUGCAGUGCCGAAGCUAACGCAUUAAGCGCUCCGCCUGGG